ensembl:lncRNA
GUAAAAGUAGAAGAUCGUGAGGUAAAAGGGGGAGACUUUGUGGUAGAAAAUGGAGAUUUUAAGGUGAAAAAAGAAUUUGAAGUGAAAAUGGGAGGAUUUGAGGUAAAAACAGGAGGUUUUGAGAUAAAGGGAGGGAUCUUGGGGUAAAAAGGGGGGAUUUGGGGGUAAAAAGAGUGGAUUUGAGGUAAAAAGAGGGAUCUUGGGGUGAAAAGGGAGGUUUUAGAGAAGAAAAGAAGAUUUUGAGGUAAAAAGACAAUUUGAAGUAAAAAAGGGGAGGUUUUAACAUAAAAAGAUGAGAUCUUGAGGUAAAAAUGGGAGAUUUGGGGGGAAAAGGGUGAUUUUGAGGUAAAAAGGGGAGGUUUUGACGAGAAAAAUGGGAAUCUCGAAGUGAAAGAGAAAGAUUUUGAGGUAAAAAGUGGAGAUUUGAGGCAAAAAGGGAAUGUGAGGUAGAAAAGGGAGAUCUUGAGAUGAAAAGGGGGGGAUGUGAUAGGAAGAGAGGAGAUUUGGGGUGAAAAGGGGAGAUUUUGAGGUAGGGGGAGAUUUGGGGCAGAAAGGGGGGAUUUUGGGGUAAAAAGGGGGGAUUUCGGGGUAAAAGGAAGAUCUUGAGGUUGAGAGUGGAGAUUUGAGGCAAAAAAGGGGGAGAUUUGGGGGUAGAAAUGGAGAUUUUGGGGGCAAAAGGGGAGUUUUGGGUAGAAAGGGGGGUUUGGGGGUAAAGAGGAGAUUUUGAGGUGAAAAGGGGGAGAUUUGGGGUAGGAGAGGAGAUUUNCCCCGUCCCCCAUUGUCACCUCCCCGACCCCCAGUGGCCCCGUGUCUCUCCGGGUCCCCUCUGCAUCUCCACGUCCCCCUCCAUGUCACCAGUGUCACCUCCAUGUCCUUCUGUACCCCUCCAUGUCCCCAAAUGUCCCCCCACGUCUUCAAACGUCACCUCCAUGUCCCCCCAUAUCUCCAGAUGUCACCUCCUCAUCCCCCAGUGUCCCCUCCACGUCCCCAUGUCCCCCUCCACGUCACCCAAUGUCCCCAUGUCUCUCCAUGUCCUUUCAGCAUCUCCAUGUCCCCACUGUCACCUCCCUGGCCCUCUAGGUCCCUCCAUGUCCCCAGAUGUCACCUCCAUGUCCCCCCAUAUCUCCAGAUGUCACCUCCCCGUCCCCCAAUGUCCCCGUGUCUCUCCGGGUCCCCUCUGCAUCUCCACGUCCCCCUCCACGUCACCAGUGUCACCUCCAUGUCCUUCUGCGUCCCCCCAUGUCUUCAAAUGUCACUUCCACGUCCCCUUAUGUCACCUUCGUGUCCCCAAAUCCUUCUCUGUCUCCCAGUGUCCCCUCCACAUCCCCAUGUUCCUCUCCACAUCCCCCAGUGUCCCCGUGUCUCUCCAUGUCCUCUCAGCAUCUCUAUGUCCCCACUGUCACCUCCCUGGCCCUGUAGGUCUCUCCAUGUCACCACUGUCACCUCUGUGUCCCCAAAUGUUCCCCCACAGCUUCAAACGUCAUCUCCAUGUUCCCUCCAUGUCCCCAGUGUCACCUCCCUGUCCCUCUAUGUCCCUCCAUGUCCCCCCAUAUCUCCAGAUGUCACCUCCCCAUCCCCCAGUGACCCCAUGUCUCUCCGUGUCCCCUCAGCAUCUUCAUGUCCCCUUCCAUGUCCCCCCACAUCCCCAAAUGUCCCCUCCCUGUCCCUCUGUGCCCCCCUAUGUCCCCCUCCAUGUCCCCCCCGUUUCCAGAUGUCACCUCCAUGUCCCCAUGCCCCUCUAUGUCCCUCAGGGUCCCCUCCUUAGCCCCAAUGUCUCCAUGUCCCCCAAACGUCCCUCAAUGUCCCCUCUGCGUCCCCUUCCGUGUCCCCAAUGUCACCUCCCUGUCCCUCAUUGUCCCAUGUCCCCAUGUCCCCCCCAUGUCUUCCUCCACGUCCCCAAAUAUCAUCUCCAUGUCCCCAUGCCCCUAUAUGCCCCCCCAGUGUCCCCCCCACGUCCCCCCAUGUCUCCACACCCCUAAGUGUCCCCCAACGUCCCUCCAUGUCCCCAGUGUCCCCUCCAUGUCCCCAGUGCCCCCCCCAGUGCCCCCUCACCUCGCGAACACGCUCCUGGGGGGCGGCAAACAGAAAGCAAACCGUCAGUGGGGCGGACUUGGGGGUCCCAGGGUGGGAUUAGGGGACUCCCAGGUAGAAUUGGGGUCGGAGAAUGGGAUGUGGGGGUCCCAGGGUGGGAUUAGGGGGCACUGAGAUGGGAUUUUUGGGGGUCCCAGGGUUGAUUUGGGGUGACAGGAUGAGAUUUUAGGGGCCGAGGAUGAGAUUCAGGGAUCCCUGGGAUGGGAUUUUGGGGCUCAAGGACAGAAUCUGGGGACCCUGUGGUGGGACUGGGGUCCUAGGGUGGGAUUUGGAGCCCCCCGGGGGGGGGAUUUCUGGCACUGGGGGGAGUUUGGGGUCCCCAGGAGGGGAACUGAAGACCCCAAGGUGGGAUUUGGGGACCCUAAGUGGGAUUUGAAACCCACAAGGGAGGAUUUGUGGCACCCUGUGGGUGGGGGUUUGGGGUCCCCACGGUGGGACUUGUGGUACUGGGGGGUGUUUUGGGGUCCCCGGGUGGGAUUUGAAG